AGGACGAACGCUGGCGGCGUGCUUAACACAUGCAAGUCGAGCGGAAAGGCCCUUCGGGGUACUCGAGCGGCGAACGGGUGAGUAACACGUGAGCAACCUGCCCUUAGCUUCGGGAUAGCUCCGGGAAACCGGAAUUAAUACCGAAUAUGAUUUUUGCUGACAUCAGCAGAAGUGGAAAGUUUUUCGGCUAGGGAUGGACUCGCGGCCUAUCAGCUAGUUGGUGAGGUAACGGCCCACCAAGGCGACGACGGGUA
rnacentral:rRNA from 1 species